UUCUUGGUCAUUUAGAGGAAGUAAAAGUCGUAACAAGGUUUCCGUAGGUGAACCUGCGGAAGGAUCAUUAAAGAAAUUUAAUAAUUUUGAAAAUGGAUUUUUUUGUUUUGGCAAGAGCAUGAGAGCUUUUACUGGGCAAGAAGACAAGAGAUGGAGAGUCCAGCCGGGCCUGCGCUUAAGUGCGCGGUCUUGCUAGGCUUGUAAGUUUCUUUCUUGCUAUUCCAAACGGUGAGAGAUUUCUGUGCUUUUGUUAUAGGACAAUUAAAACCGUUUCAAUACAACACACUGUGGAGUUUUCAUAUCUUUGCAACUUUUUCUUUGGGCAUUCGAGCAAUCGGGGCCCAGAGGUAACAAACACAAACAAUUUUAUCUAUUCAUUAAAUUUUUGUCAAAAACAAGAAUUUCCGUAACUGGAAAUUUUAAAAUAUUAAAAACUUUCAACAACGGAUCUCUUGGUUCUCGCAUCGAUGAAGAACGCAGCGAAAUGCGAUACGUAAUGUGAAUUGCAGAAUUCCGUGAAUCAUCGAAUCUUUGAACGCACAUUGCGCCCCUUGGUAUUCCAGGGGGCAUGCCUGUUUGAGCGUCAUUUCCUUCUCAAACAUUCUGUUUGGUAGUGAGUGAUACUCUUUGGAGUUAACUUGAAAUUGCUGGCCUUUUCAUUGGAUGUUAUUUUUCCAAAGAGAGGUUUCUCUGCGUGCUUGAGGUAUAAUGCAAGUACGGUCGUUUUAGGUUUUACCAACUGCGGCUAAUCUUUUUUUAUACUGAGCGUAUUGGAACGUUAUCGAUAAGAAGAGAGCGUCUAGGCGAACAAUGUCCUUAAAGUUUGACCUCAAAUCAGGUAGGAGUACCCGCUGAACUUAAGCAUAUCAAUAAGCGGAGGAA
rnacentral:rRNA from 1 species